rnacentral:rRNA from 1 species
CCUACGGGAGGCAGCAGUGAGGAAUAUUGGUCAAUGGACGAGAGUCUGAACCAGCCAAGUAGCGUGAAGGAUGACUGCCCUAUGGGUUGUAAACUUCUUUUAUAAAGGAAUAAAACGAGGCACGUGUGCCUUUUUGCAUGUACUUUAUGAAUAAGGAUCGGCUAACUCCGUGCCAGCAGCCGCGGUAAUACGGAGGAUCCGAGCGUUAUCCGGAUUUAUUUGGUUUAAAGGGAGCGUAGAUGGGUUGUUAAGUCAGUUGUGAAAGUUUGCGGCUCAACCGUAAAAUUGCAAUUGAUACUGGCAGUCUUGAGUACAGUUGAGGUAAGCGGAAUGCGUGGUGUAGCGGUGAAAUGCUUAGAUAUCACGAAGAACCCCGAUUGCGAAGGCAGCUUACUAAACUGUGACUGACAUUGAUGCUCGAAAGUGUGGGUAUCAAACAGGAUUAGAUACCCCUGUAGUC